UACGGGGGGAGCAAGCGUUGUUCGGAUUUACUGGGCGUAAAGGGCGCGUAGGCGGUCAGCACAAGUCAGUUGUGAAAUCUCCGGGCUUAACUCGGAAAGGUCAACUGAUACUGUGCGACUAGAGUGCAGAAGGGGCAACUGGAAUUCUCGGUGUAGCGGUGAAAUGCGUAGAUAUCGGGAGGAACACCGGUGGCGAAGGCGGCAUCCUGGACCGGCAUUGACGCUGAGGCGCGAAAGCCAGGGGAGCAAACGGG
rnacentral:rRNA from 1 species